rnacentral:rRNA from 1 species
AACGAACGCUGGCGGCAUGCCUAACACAUGCAAGUCGAACGAAGCCUUCGGGCUUAGUGGCGCACGGGUGCGUAACGCGUGGGAAUCUGCCCCUCGGUUCGGAAUAACAGUUAGAAAUGACUGCUAAUACCGGAUGAUGACGAAAGUCCAAAGAUUUAUCGCCGAGGGAUGAGCCCGCGUAGGAUUAGCUUGUUGGUGGGGUAAUGGCCCACCAAGGCGACGAUCCUUAGCUGGUCUGAGAGGAUGAUCAGCCACACUGGGACUGAGACACGGCCCAGACUCCUACGGGAGGCAGCAGUGGGGAAUAUUGGACAAUGGGCGAAAGCCUGAUCCAGCAAUGCCGCGUGAGUGAUGAAGGCCUUAGGGUUGUAAAGCUCUUUUACCAGGGAUGAUAAUGACAGUACCUGGAGAAUAAGCUCCGGCUAACUCCGUGCCAGCAGCCGCGGUAAUUAGCGUACU